GGGGAGUUAGUUCAGCUGGUUAGAACGUCGGCCUGUCACGCCGAAGGUCAGGGGUUCAAAUCCCCUACUCCUCG
rnacentral:tRNA from 1 species